rnacentral:sRNA from 1 species
UAGUUAGCCUGCAUUAAUGCCAACUUUUAGCGCACGGCUCUAUCCCAAGAGCCAUUUCCCUGGACCGAAUACAGGAAUCGUAUUCGGUCUCUUUUU